rnacentral:rRNA from 1 species
GAUGAACGCUGGCGGCGUGCCUAAUACAUGCAAGUCGAGCGAAUGGAUUAAGAGCUUGCUCUUAUGAAGUUAGCGGCGGACGGGUGAGUAACACGUGGGUAACCUGCCCAUAAGACUAGGAUAACUCCGGGAAACCGGGGCUAAUACCGGAUAACAUUUUGAACCGCAUGGUUCGAAAUUGAAAGGCGGCUUCGGCUGUCACUUAUGGCUGGACCCGCGUCGCAUUAGCUAGUUGGUGAGGUAAAGGCUCACCAAGGCAACGAUGCGUAGCCGACCUGAGAGGGUGAUCGGCCACACUGGGACUGAGACACGGCCCAGACUCCUACGGGAGGCAGCAGUAGGGAAUCUUCCGCAAUGGACGAAAGUCUGACGGAGCAACGCCGCGUGAGUGAUGAAGGCUUUCGGGUCGUAAAACUCUGUUGUUAGGGAAGAACAAGUGCUAGUUGAAUAAGCUGGCACCUUGACGGUACCUAACCAGAGAGCCACGGCUAACUACGUGCCAGCAGCCGCCGUAA